CCGGCAUAUACAAGAAAUGGAAAGAACGAUCACAUAAUAAGAUCUCUCUCAGAGGAAUAAGUAAUGGAGAACACGAUGGUGACACCAUGAACACUGCUGGGAAUCAGCGAUAUUCGGGAAAUAAAAGAAAGUUUGGGCAGGGAAAGAACAGGCAUUCAGUGCCUAAUGCUCAUGUGCGCCCUGAAGUUAAAAAUCUAGAGCAAAUUCGGAAGGAACGACAGAAAAAGGCAAAUAAAAUUCAGCACAUGAAGAACAACAAACCGACAAGG
rnacentral:misc_RNA from 1 species